UACAGAGGUCUCAAGCGUUGUUCGGAUUCAUUGGGCGUAAAGGGCGCGUAGGCUGCGGGGCAAGUCGGGUGUGAAAUCUCAGAGCUCAACUCUGAAACUGCACUCGAUACUGCUUUGCUUGAGGACUGGAGAGGAGAUUGGAAUUCACGGUGUAGCAGUGAAAUGCGUAGAUAUCGUGAGGAACACCGAUGGCGAAGGCAGGUCUCUGGGCAUUAACUGACGCUGAGGAGCGAAAGCAUGGGGAGCGAACAGG
rnacentral:rRNA from 1 species